GAUAUACGGCUCAGAGCCCCCUCCCGAUUCUGCUUCCCGUGAAGGAGAUGAGGGAAGCGGCGCUAAUCUGAGCCCAGUUACAACAGGCAGGGCAGUUUUCUGUUUCCCCCGAGCUAGCAAUUUUGAUGGUUUGAAAUUAAUGUCUUGAACUCUCUCAAAAUCAGGUUCGUGACCUCUGGACGGCAGCCCAAUCUGAGUAGGAUUUGGGGAAGACUACAUCUACCACCUCUCUAUCUUGAAUCAGGAGUGGGGUGAAGGAGUGGCAACUUGAGACUCUGUUAGGUUGCAGCAGCUUGUGGCUUGCCCCCUUUAGUUAUAGCAGAAAUGACCAAAACAUCUCCAGAAGAUGGCAGUACUUGUGCCAGCUAGCCAGUCAUGCUGGCAGAGAUGAUUUCUUCCUUGUGAUUAAAAAGAAAGAAAAACAGUCAAGGACAAAUGGAUGAUUGCUGACAUACGAAAGCUCUUGUUUUUCUGGCCCAGUAUUUUCAGCAAUGGAGCCAAAUGAUAGACCAAUCUACAACAGAGUUACAUGCAGGCUUCUAGUUUGUGCCUCCUGUAAAAAUAAGAUAAAUAAAAUAUUAUGUAUUGAUUAGCUGAUUAUACUAUGAAGUUAUUGUCAGUCUUAGCAACCACAUACAUUGUCUCCUUGAUAUACUCCUUGAUAUAUUUUAUUCAAAAAUAUCUGUGACCUUAGCAAGUGCUACAAUAUGUGUAAUUGAGUCUCCCAAGUAUUUAUGUUUAUGCAGGACUAUAUACAGGGCACUGUAAAACAUCCAAACAUCUACAUCCUAAGAAAAUAAUGGAAUGAUAUAAGGAAUUCCUUAGAAAAAGCACUCUUAGUAGGGAAGAUCUAUUAAAAGUUGUACUGCAGAAACAUGAUUGGUUGUUAACUAUAGCUCACAGUUGAUGCACAGGCAAAUGCAUCAUUAAUAAACUACGGUCUAUAUUGCGCUAGCUGGAAGAUUGCAUACAGACAGCAACCCUACCUGAAACAUAUUCUCACAAAGGAUAAAAACAGGAUAAAACCAGACCCUACAACAAACCCAGAUGUUUAUUUUGCCCCCACAUAUACAUUGACAGUAGCAUCACAGGCCCCAAUAAGCACACACGUAAGACCAGAGCCACCUUCACAUGUUGUUCUUCUAUUGUGAUCAACAAUUUCCCUCUGGAUUAGAAAUGGAACAAAUUUUUGCACAAAAACUAGUAGACACAAAUUUAACAUCAGGACUCCAAAAAAAAAAGGAUGAAGUAUUAUCAGAGCAUUCUAACUAGGACACUCUGUGGCAGACUUCAAAAUGUUUUGUUUUGGGAGAAAAAAGCACCACUGAGCAAGAAAUCGCUGAACUCAUA